AUGCACCUUGGAUAUCUCGUCCUCACUGUCUUCCUGGGGCAACUGCUGGGCACCAUGGGGCAGAUCACCGUCACCCAGCAAGAAGGACAAGUCACAGUGAAGCAGGGAGACACCUUCCAAACAACCUGCACAUACCAAACCUCCAGCUUUUAUAGCUUGCUCUGGUACCAGCAGAGGAAAGGCCAAGGUCCCCAGCUGCUCUCGUCUCAGGCAGCAGCUGGCCGCAAGCCGAGCGGCCGUCUCACCACGUCGCUGAACACCACAGGGAAAUACAGCCUCCUGCAGCUGGAGGAAGUCGAGGUCUCUGACAGUGCCUUGUACCUCUGUGCUGUGCAAGACACCCUGGUGCAGGGAGCUUCCUUGGCUGUGCAAGAACCCAGGGGAGGGAGGGCAUGUGGCUGUGCAAGGCUGAGCCUGGGGGAAGGGGCCCUCAGCUCUCUCCUGGCAGCGCUGCUUGCCCUGUGCACCCACAGCUCUGCAGGCAAAGAUCCUGUGAUGUAA